rnacentral:rRNA from 1 species
GAGUUUGAUUAUGGCUCAGAUUGAACGCUGGCGGCAUGCUUUACACAUGCAAGUCGAACGGCAGCGGGGAAGUGCUUGCACUUCUGCCGGCGAGUGGCGAACGGGUGAGUAAUGCAUUGGAACGUACCGGGUAAUGGGGGAUAACUUGCCGAAAGGUAAGCUAAUACCGCAUACGCUUUAAGAAGGAAAGCGGGGGAUCAUCUGACCUCGCGUUAUCCGAGCGGCCAAUGUCUGAUUAGCUAGUUGGUGGGGUAAAAGCCUACCAAGGCAACGAUCAGUAGCGGGUCUGAGAGGAUGAUCCGCCACACUGGGACUGAGACACGGCCCAGACUCCUACGGGAGGCAGCAGUGGGGAAUUUUGGACAAUGGGCGCAAGCCUGAUCCAGCCAUGCCGCGUGUCUGAAGAAGGCCUUCGGGUUGUAAAGGACUUUUGUCGGGGAAGAAAAGGUUGUGGCUAAUACCCAUGACUGAUGAC